rnacentral:rRNA from 1 species
AUUGAACGCUGGCGGCAGGCCUAACACAUGCAAGUCGAGCGGAUGAAGGGAGCUUGCUCCUGGAUUCAGCGGCGGACGGGUGAGUAAUGCCUAGGAAUCUGCCUGGUAGUGGGGGAUAACGUCCGGAAACGGGCGCUAAUACCGCAUACGUCCUGAGGGAGAAAGUGGGGGAUCUUCGGACCUCACGCUAUCAGAUGAGCCUAGGUCGGAUUAGCUAGUUGGUGGGGUAAAGGCCUACCAAGGCGACGAUCCGUAACUGGUCUGAGAGGAUGAUCAGUCACACUGGAACUGAGACACGGUCCAGACUCCUACGGGAGGCAGCAGUGGGGAAUAUUGGACAAUGGGCGAAAGCCUGAUCCAGCCAUGCCGCGUGUGUGAAGAAGGUCUUCGGAUUGUAAAGCACUUUAAGUUGGGAGGAAGGGCAGUAAGUUAAUACCUUGCUGUUCUGACGUUACCAACAGAGUAAGCACCGGCUAACUUCGUG